GAUGAACGCUGGCGGCGUGCUUAACACAUGCAAGUCGAACGGAAAGGCCCAAGCUUGCUUGGGUACUCGAGUGGCGAACGGGUGAGUAACACGUGGGUGAUCUGCCCUGCACUUCGGGAUAAGCCUGGGAAACUGGGUCUAAUACCGGAUAGGACGAUGGUUUGGAUGCCAUUGUGGAAAGUUUUUUCGGUGUGGGAUGAGCUCGCGGCCUAUCAGCUUGUUGGUGGGGUAAUGGCCUACCAAGGCGUCGACGGGUAGCCGGCCUGAGAGGGUGUACGGCCACAUUGGGCCUGGGUAAGGGCCCAGAUUCCUACGGGGGCAGGCGGUGGGGAAUUUUGACCAAGGGGGGCAGGCCUGAUGCGGCGAGGCGGGGGGGGGAUGACGGCCUUCGGGUUGUAAACUCCUUUCGCUAGGGACGAAGCGUUUUUGUGACGGUACCUGGAGAAGAAGCACCGGCUAACUACGUG
rnacentral:rRNA from 1 species